rnacentral:rRNA from 1 species
GACGUAGGGCGCGAGCGUUGUCCGGAUUUAUUGGGCGUAAAGAGCUCGUAGGCGGCUUGUCGCGUCGACUGUGAAAACCCGCGGCUCAACUGCGGGCCUGCAGCCGAUACGGGCAGGCUAGAGUUCGGUAGGGGAGACUGGAAUUCCUGGUGUAGCGGUGAAAUGCGCAGAUAUCAGGAGGAACACCGGUGGCGAAGGCGGGUCUCUGGGUCUUACCUGACGCUGAGGAACGAAAGCCAGGGGAGCGAACGGG